UGAUGACAGCAGAUUACUUCUUUGGGGGUUCAGUCCUUGUCUUGCUGAUUGUGCAUAUAUGCAGCCUACCUCUUGAGAAAGGCUAUUAUCCAGGCACUCCUUACCGGAGAGGUAACACAAACACUGCAGGUAAUG